UACUAUCUGUGUUUCAGCAUAUGUCAUGGUAUGACUGCAAGUUGUUCCCAGCAGGUUUUCCAAUCUGCAGACAAGCUAUGGGAGGGAUGGUUGGAGUGAAGAGUUCCCCAAAAGCUUGCCAACAGAAUGGAUUGUUUAGGUGGUAGUGGGCUAUUUGCACGGGUUUAA
rnacentral:rRNA from 1 species